rnacentral:rRNA from 1 species
GUGGGGAAUAUUGGGCAAUGGGCGCAAGCCUGACCCAGCAACGCCGCGUGAAGGAAGAAGGCUUUCGGGUUGUAAACUUCUUUUACCAGGGACGAAACAAAUGAUGGUACCUGGUGAAUAAGCCACGGCUAACUACGUGCCAGCAGCCGCGGUAAUACGUAGGUGGCGAGCGUUAUCCGGAUUUAUUGGGUGUAAAGGGCGUGUAGGCGGGACAGCAAGUCAGAUGUGAAAACCAGAGGCUCAACCUCUGGCCUGCAUUUGAAACUGUUGUUCUUGAGUGUCGGAGAGGUAAUCGGAAUUCCGUGUGUAGCGGUGAAAUGCGUAGAUAUACGGAGGAACACCAGUGGCGAAGGCGGAUUACUGGACGAUAACUGACGCUGAGGCGCGAAAGCGUGGGGAGCAAACAGGAUUAGAAACCCUAGUAGUCC